CCAAUAGCGUAUAUUAAAGUUGUUGCAGUUAAAAAGCUCGUAGUUGAAUUUCGGGAUCAAAGAAUCGGUCAUGCUUUGGUAUGUACUGGUUUUAUUGGUUCUCACCUUCUAAAGAACCAUAAUGUCAUUUAUUUGAUGUUAUGGGGAAUUAGGACUGUUACCUUGAAAAAAUUAGAGUGUUUAAAGCAAGCUUACGCUUGAAUACAUUAGCAUGGAAUAA
rnacentral:rRNA from 1 species